AUUGAACGCUGGCGGCAGGCCUAACACAUGCAAGUCGAACGAGCGGCGGACGGGUGAGUAAUGUAUGGGGACUGCCCGAUAGAGGGGGAUAACUACUGGAAACGGUGGCUAAUACCGCAUACUAUCGGAUAACCCAUAUGGGAUUAGCUAGUAGGUGGGGUAAAGGCUCACCUAGGCGACGAUGUCUAGCUGGUCUGAGAGGAUGAUCAGCAACACGGGGACUGGGACACGGCCCAGACUCCUACGGAGGCAGCAGUGGGGAAUAUUGGACAAUGGGCGAAAGCCUGAUUCAGCCAUGCCGCGUGUAUGAAGAAGGCCUUAGGGUUGUAAAGGACUUUCAUCGGGGAGGCGUUACCUGCCGAAGAAGCACCGGCUAACUCCGUGCCAGCAGCCGCGGUAAUAC
rnacentral:rRNA from 1 species